CAUGGUCCCUCAAACAACCAAACAAACAAACACACUGACAAACACAAGCUCAGCACAUGCUUCAGACCCAGCAACUGGAAAGAGGAGUUUCUGAGACAGAGUCCAAUGCUGCAGUACAACACGCUGGACCCACACAAGCAAAAUCAACAUGAACCUUCUUGAAAGAAGCUUGGGUAAAGUCUUGUCUAUAGUUUAGGGUGGAGAAUGGAGGAGACAGGAAUCAAUGACCUAAAGAUCUCCCACCUCACAAAAAGCAACAGCAACAUCAGCCUCUUGAGCCGCCAGCAGAGCUGCAAAGGAAGGAGAAUGAAGGUCAUCAGGGUUGGAAAGGAGCUUAGUGGUGACUGCACUUGACAUUGAGUAGCAGGAUGUGAA